CCUCAAGGCCCGCCCCUUCCACUAGCAACGCACCAAUCGGAAGCGCGGCCGCAGGAAGUGGCGGUUGGAGGUGUGGGUGGGCGUUACAGCAGGCCUUAGGUAUUUCUGGAAAAUCGCUGCAAGGUUGGCAGAAUGCUUCUUCAGGGCGGAGUGCGGUGUGACUGUUGAGUAGAGGUUGCUUCUCUGUGGAGUUGGCGUUCUGAGGGUAAAGCCUGGGUUAAAAAAAAAAAAUCUGCAGUUGGGACCCAAGUUCACCAGGGAAAUUAGUUUAGCUGAUGUCUACUCUGGGAGCCAUCUUUUAUCGCCAUCAGAGUACCUAGUUAGGACGCCAAGUGCAAAAGCGAUGUGCAUAGACUGGAGACAGAUUAUGAUUGAUAUAAACUUAACAUCAAAAUUAAGAAAAAAAAUAGUAUAGAAGAAGACAUGGUUUCCACCCCACUUCCACAGCACGUCUAAGUUUUAUCUUUUUUGGGGUCCUUAUCUGUUGCCACAAUGCAACAAGCUGUAGAACAAGCUUUGGAUUGCGCAGAGUACAUCGUGGAAAGUGCUCAGCAGAGACCUCCUAAAAGGAAAUACCUGUCUAGUGGAAGAAAGUCUAUAUUUCAAAAACUUUAUGACUUAUAUGUUGAAGAAUGUGAAAAAGAACCCGAGGUUAAGCAGAAAUUAAGAAGAAAUGUGAACUUGUUAGAGAAGCUUGUUAUGCAGGAGACUUUGUCGUGUUUAGUAGUCAAUCUGUACCCAGGAAAUGAAGGCUAUUCUCUGAUGCUCAGGGGGAAAAAUGGAUCAGAUUCUGAGACCAUCCGAUUGCCUUAUGAAGAAGGAGAAUUGCUUGAAUACUUAGAUGCAGAAGAAUUACCUCCUAUUUUGGUGGAUCUCCUUGAAAAAUCACAGGUUAAUAUUUUUCAUUGUGGAUGUGUGAUAGCAGAAAUACGUGACUAUAGGCAGUCCAGUAAUAUGAAGUCUCCUGGUUACCAAAGUAGGCACAUUCUCUUACGUCCAACAAUGCAGACUUUAGUCUGUGAUGUCCAUUCUAUAACAAGUGACAACCAUAAGUGGACCCAGGAAGACAAACUUUUGCUUGAGAGCCAGCUGAUUCUAGCUACAGCAGAGCCACUGUGUCUUGACCCAUCGGUGGCAGUAGCGUGCACUGCCAAUAGGCUGCUCUAUAACCGGCAGAAGAUGAACACUCGCCCAAUGAAACGGUGUUGGAAGAGGUACUCCAGGUCCUCCCUGAACCGCCAGCAGGACCUCUCUCACGGCCCUCCUCCCCCUCAGCUGAGACUACUUGAUUUCUUACAAAAGCGGAAGGAAAGGAAAGCAGGCCAGCAUUAUGACCUCAAAAUUUCCAAAGCAGGAAAUUGUGUAGACAUGUGGAAACGGAGCCCCUGUAACUUGGCUGUGCCUUCUGAAGUAGAUGUGGAAAAAUAUGCUAAAGUGGAGGAAUCCAUCAAAUCUGACGACUCACAGCCAACAAUGUGGCCAGCUCAUGAUGUAAAAGACGAUUAUGUAUUUGAAUGUGAAGGUGGUAAUCAGUAUCAGAAAACAAAGCUGACCAUCUUGCAGUCUCUUGGGGAUCCACUUUACUAUGGUAAAAUACAGCCGUGGAAAGCAGAUGAAGAAAAUGACAGCCAAAUGUCUCCAUCCCACUCCUCUGCUGAUGACCAUUCAAACUGGUUUGUCAUUGGGUCAAAGACUGACGCAGAGAGGGUAGUUAAUCAAUACCAGGAGUUGGUCCAGAAUGAAGCCAAAUGCCCAGUGAAGAUGUCACACAGCAGUAGUGGUUCAGCCGCUCUCAGUCCAGGGGAGGAGGCAGAACAGGCGGAGACCUCGUCCAUUCAGUCUUCAGUUUUGGGAAAGGGAGUAAAACACCGACCCCCACCCAUCAAACUUCCCUCAGGCUCAGGAAAUAGUUCCUCAGGUAACUAUUUCACAGCACAGCAGGCCAGCAGCUUCCUUAAAUCUCCAACUCCUCCUCCAUCGUGUAAGCCAAGCCUUUCUCGGAAGUCUUCUGUGGACCUCAGUCAAGUUAGCAUGCUUUCUCCUGCCGCCCUGUCCCCUGCCAGCUCAUCCCAGAGACAUGAAAGCUAAAAAGGAAACACCUCAAGAGCUUUGCUUUACUUUUUUGGUUUCAUUUUUAAAAAUUUUUUUAAGUUGAUAAAACUGUGCAUACUUCAUUCACGACAGAUUUUCUAUACAUUCAACAUUUAAACAGAAGUACACAGUUACUGUUAAAGAUGCAGUAUUAUCUAUAAAGUACCUGCUUUAUUCUUUGUAAAUUUCUUUGUCAGGGUAAACUUGAUAUGUUGGGAAUUAAACAUGUAUAUCUGAGUGCCAUAACUGAUAGCUUGUGUACUUACUAAGUAUGUUGACAGUUUAUCUUCGACAGUUAAACUAAAAUAAGCAGUAUUUUUUUAAGAAGUCUUAAAUUAGUGAACUCACAAGUAACAAAAAAUUAACUUAAAGUCAUUCUCAGCUUUGUAGGCAAAAGACAGCAUGUAGGAGACUAACUUUUUAUUGGGUGUUGUGGUAGAGUGUAAGUGUAUUUCCACUGUUAACUGUGAUCUGAGUGGGGUUUCUAGGUGAUAUACUGCAUCCUUAAUUGUAAUUGAGUGUAGCAACACUCUUGGAUCGUGUAGAGAGUUAACACUUGCAGUUAACUGCUUUUAAACAAAUUGGAACAAAUUUGUCAGUGCUAAGUAAGAUUCCAUUAACCGUAUUUUAAAAGGACCAGCCAUUUAUAACAAACUAGCAAUUUUUAUUUUUCUCAACGAGCAGGAUCUGGAACUCCUAAGCCAUCUCCUCCUACACCAACCCCUUCAUCGGUCCCACACCCUCCUGACGCUCAGAACUCAGCUCCUAGUACCCCUUCAGCCACCCCAUCUCCCCAAGAAUCAGGCUUCACCCCUCAGCCCACUUUGUUAACUCAGUUUGCUCAGCAGCAAAGGGCUCUGAGCCAGGCAAUGCCUGUGACAACCAUUCCUCUUUCUACCAUGGUAACGUCCAUAACAACAGGAAGCUCGCUCUCCCCGGUCAUGGCAGACUCUGCUGGGCUAACCUCCGUCAGUGUACUGAGCUCUGCUGGUGGAGCCCAGGCUCUGAAGAGUGGCUCAAACUCCAUGCUGGGCUGUGACACUGGGGCCAUACCUCCUGCAGGAAAAAGCCUGUGCAGCGGCCUUCUGCCAUCAGGAGGUCUCGUAGCAAACACACUGCCCAGUGCCGUGCAGGCGGCUCCUCAAGCAGGUAUCCCAUUUGGUUUACAAAAUACUUCAAGUCUCAGACCUUUAAAUCUACUCCAGCUUCCUGGUGGUUCACUCAUUUUUAACACCCAGCAGCAACAGCAGCAGACGCAGCUCCCUCACUUUAUACAACAACCUCAGCAGCCUGCAGCUUCCGGUUCCCAACAGCCAGAGGAGCAGGGUUCUGAACAAGGGUUAACUGCGCAGGAACAGGCCUUAACUGCUCAGCAAGCUGCCGUUAUUAACCUUACUGGAGUAGGAGGCUUUCCCCAGUCACAGGCAGCCGUGUUGUCUCAGCUUGGCUCUGCUGAGAACAGACCUGAGCAAAGCCUUCCUCAGCAGAGACUCCAGCUCUCCUCUGCCUUUCAGCAGCAGCAGCAGCAGCAGCAACAACAACAACAACAGCAACUACAACAGUUGCGAUUCUUGCAGCACCAAAUGGCUAUGGCAGCAGCAGCCGCACAAACAGCCCAGCUACAUCGUCACCGGCACACAGGCAGCCAGUCAAAGAGUAAAAUGAAGAGAGGCAUGCCAACUACUCCAAAAUUCUGAGCAAUUUUUUUUUUCUUUUUUACAAACACGACCAUUGAAUGAAUUGUAUUUCUACUGUUUUCCCGAGAUGUCAGUAUUUUGCAUUGCUGUGUGUGCACACUUUACACAGAAGCACAGCCCUGUGAUUCUUACAUGGAAACAUGGUGAAAUGUUUUCCUGUACAUACCAAUCGCAGAAACAACGUAAGGACUAGAAAUAUCUUUCAAAGAAUGGAAUUAGGUAUUUAUUUAGUAUAAAAAGCCUGUGCAGUGUAACAAAUACAAUUUUUACAGCUGUUUUGCA